GACGAACGCUGGCGGCGUGCUUAACACAUGCAAGUCGAACGGACCUGUCCUGCUUUUUUGUGGUGCUCGAGUGGCUAACGAGUGAGUAACUCACACGUAACUUGCCCUUCCCUUUCUGCUAACUUCCGGACACUGUGGCUUAUUCCUGCUAGGUGCUCCUUCUGCUUGGUGUGGGUUGGAGAGUUUCGGCUUUUUUGGUUUGACUCGCGGCUUCUCAGCCUGUUGGUGAGGUAGUGGCUUACUAAGGCUUGGACGGUUAGCCGGACUGGGAGGGUGACCGGCGACAUUGGGACUGAGAUACGGCCCAGAGUAGUAGGGGAGGAAGCAGUGGGGAAGAUUGCAGAAUGAGCGGAAGACGGAGGGAGAAACGCGGCGUGCGGGAUGACGGCAUUCGGGUUGUAAACCGCUUUAGCCGGUGACGAAGCGUGAGUGACGGUAAUGGGUAAAGAAGCACCGGCUAACUACGUG
rnacentral:rRNA from 1 species